rnacentral:rRNA from 1 species
CCAAUAGCGUAUAUUAAAGUUGUUGCAGUUAAAAAGCUCGUAGUUGAACUUCGGGGUUUGCUCAUUGGUCAGGCUUAAUUGUCUGCACUGGUGGGAUAAAUCUCUACCUUCUGAGGAACUUUCAUGCCAUUUAUUUGGUGUGAUGGGAAAUCAGGACUGUUACUUUGAAAAAAUUAGAGUGUUUAAAGCAGACUAACGUCUGAAUACAUUAGCAUGGAAUAAUGAAAUAGGACGGACUGAUUCUAUUUCGUUGGUUUCUAGGAUCACCGUAAUGAUUAAUAGGGAUAGUUGGGGGCAUUAUUAUUCAAUUGUCAGAGGUGAAAUUCUUGUAUUUAUUGAAGACUAACUACUGCGAAAGCAUUUGCCAAGGAUGUUUUCAUUAAUCAAGAACGAAAGUUAGGGGAUCGAAGACGAUCAGAUACCGUCGUAGUCUUAACCAUAAACUAUGCCGACUAGGGAUCGGAUGAUGUUAAUUUUUUAAUGACUCAUUCGGCGCCUUACG